CAGGAUUCCCCUAGUAACUGCGAGUGAAGCGGGAAAAGCUCAAAUUUAAAAUCUGGUAGCCUUUGGUUGCCCGAGUUGUAGUCUGGAGAAGCGUCUUCCGCGCUGGACCGUGUACAAGUCUCUUGGAACAGAGCGUCAUAGAGGGUGAGAAUCCCGUCUUUGACACGGACUACCAGUGCUUUGUGAUGCGCUCUCAAAGAGUCGAGUUGUUUGGGAAUGCAGCUCAAAAUGGGUGGUAAAUUCCAUCUAAAGCUAAAUAUUGGCGAGAGACCGAUAGCGAACAAGUACCGUGAGGGAAAGAUGAAAAGCACUUUGGAAAGAGAGUUAAACAGUACGUGAAAUUGCUGAAAGGGAAACGCUUGAAGUCAGUCGCGUCUUCUAGUACUCAGCCUUCCUUUUGGUUGGUGCAUUUACUAGUUGACGGGCCAGCAUCAGUUUUGGCUGCGGGAUAAAGGUUAGAGGAAUGUGGCACCUUCGGGUGUGUUAUAGCCUCUGGUCAUAUACCGUGGCUGGGACUGAGGAUCUCAGCACGCCUUUAUGGCGGGGGUUCGCCCACCUUCGUGCUUAGGAUGCUGGCGUAAUGGCUUUAAACGACCCGUCUUGAAACACGGACCAAGGAGUCUAACAUGCCUGCGAGUGUUUGGGUGGAAAACCCGAGCGCGUAAUGAAAGUGAAAGUUGGGAUCUCUGUCGUGGAGAGCACCGACGCCCGGACCAGACCUUCUGUGACGGAUCCGCGGUAGAGCAUGUAUGUUGGGACCCGAAAGAUGGUGAACUAUGCCUGAAUAGGGUGAAGCCAGAGGAAACUCUGGUGGAGGCUCGUAGCGAUUCUGACGUGCAAAUCGAUCGUCAAAUUUGGGUAUAGGGGCGAAAGACUAAUCGAACCAUCUAGUAGCUGGUUCCUGCCGAGU
rnacentral:rRNA from 1 species